GCACAUGCCCUUUCCCUGAAAGGGUGCACCUCUCAGCAUGUCUCAUGGCUGGGCAGUGAAGCAAUUAACGUGCAACAAGACAUUCUGAGCUCUAAUGAAUAAAGGUCUAAGAAUUAUGCUGUGAAGAAGUCAGAUGUGAGGUACAGAGCCAUUAAUUGUCAACAGCUUGUGCUCUGCUAUCAUUCCUAUAUCGAAAUAAGGAUGGUUGAUGAUCUUGUACUUAUGCUGGUUGAUUUGACUCAGGCAGAUGGCUGACAAAAGGAUUUAAACUGAAGUGAGACGGAGUAAGGGGUGGAAAAAGACACAAAAUAGAGCCAGUCCCAUUUUAAGAAAAAAUUACUAACUCACAAAGAGUUAAUUCAAGCAGGUUUAUAUUUAUCUGUCUGAUAUGUAUUUGUCUGACACAUGUGGUCGAUACAAAGAACUGACGUCUGCUCUGUCAGUAGAAGUAUUUUAUUAUUAUUAAUAGCUAUUUGCUAACUCUGGCAUCUGUAGUCUGCCAGGCACUGUGCAAAACCCAAGGAAAGCGCAGUGUCUCCCCAGAGAGCUUAUGGUAAUCUGUUCUAUUGCAACAAUAUUUUUUUAAUGCUGUGUAUAAAUCAUUCUUCUCGCAGUAUUUAGUAUAGAAUUUUACACUUCCCCAUUCAUGUUUUCAUGGCAGACAGAUUUGCCACAGUGAAAACACUAUGCAGUUCAAUCCAGCUAUAUUUUAUGGAGUUUCUUCCAGGCAAACCGUUGGAAACCAUCGCUGCAGAGAGACCCUUAACACGCAGUUAACUUUGAAAUCUGCCUAAGCAUCAUUAACUUUAAUGGCCCUGAGCACAUGCUUCCAGCUAAGCAUAUGCUGAAGUGCUCUCCAGAAUGUAGACAGGAUUAGGCCCAUACAAACUGUUUUGAAGAAAUGUGGCAUAAACCUUCAGAGAGAUUAAAAUCCCCAAGGAUUCACCCUUCCAUUCAGGCCUAUUUUCCAGUCUGAGGUAUAUGGAAAUCCCUAUUGACCCCAGGGGCCUUUAGCAAGGGUGGACUGUGCUCUGCUGCAUGGCGAAGUGCUGCGGAACUGCCCUGCAUGUCAUGAAAAAUGACUCAUAAGAGAGUAGAUGAGAUUGUGAUGGCCAAUAGUGUAAGAUAAAGAUUUUAAAUAACAACAACCAAAAAAAGACCUUAAUUGAGUCUGACUAGAACUAAAUCUGUAGUUAAAUAAAGGCAUAUAAUGAAAUGGAAACAAGGAAAAAAAACACAGAAAAAGAAAAUAAAACAAAAAAAAAUGUUGUGUGCUAAAUAAACUGUAUCAUCCAGUCUCCAGGGGGAAAUAAAUGAAAAAAAGAUAGUAUUGGAAUAACUUUUAAAAUGGAAUAAUGCCUAAUGAGGUCCUUAGGGGACUAUUUAUGUAGACUUCAUGAACAGCUUGAUUGAAAAGAAAGCUUUGCCCACAUUCCAAAUUGUGUUCAAUUUAGUCUUAUUUAUUUAACACCUGAAGCUAGCUUGCAUCCACUGUUGAAAUGCUAUCAAGAAGCACUGGCUAUACCUGGUGGUGCCCUCCUGACUUUUAGGGAAAAAUAAACCAGCAGAUCCAUGAUAGCACUUGCCUGAUGGCAAAAGUUUUUUGAUUCUCUACUGGGUCACUGACCCAAAAUUACCCUGCAUGUCUGAACCUUUUGUGAGCCUGUGGGGAGUCAGAGGCAGAAAGCCUUCAUAAUGCAGAGAAAUAUCUGAGCUAGCCUUUUUCGCCACAGGACCACGAUGUGGAAAAGGGGGUGCAAAGGAGGUGGUGGUAAGGAGCAAAUUCAAGCUCCUAGGUUGGAUCACUCUAGAUUUCUGAAGAGAUGCCCUCACUGUAGGGAUUUUUCUAUUCUGCUAAAAUCACAGAAUCAUUAGGGUUGGAAGAGACCUCUAGAGAUCAUUUAGUUCAACCCCAUCUAGGCCAAGGCAGGGACAUUUUGAGCAGGCUACACAGGAAAGCAUGCAGAUGGGCUUCAAAUGUCUUCAGAGAAGGAGCCCCCACAUAAUUAUAGGUAAGACCAUUUGGAAAAAAUAAAUGUGCAAGGGCAAGUGCAUUUAUUUCUUGUGAGUCUCUUUAGAGGCAGAAGGCUUCAACAAUCAAAGUCUUAGAUUCCCCAAAUGGCUACAUUAUGAGUGUCCUUUGUUUUUAAGAAAGCUCAGUAAAAGUUGCCUCAUUUCUCUUUUUAGAAUGUACCAUCAUAAACAUCUUCCAAUCAUCAGAUUUGGAAAUCUUCCAAACAUCAGGCAACCACGAUAUGGCUUUGUAGAGUGUUUUAACUUGUUUAACAUGAAGAAGAGUCUGCUCAAACAGCUCUGUUUAUAAAAUUAUUUGCUAAACAAUCAAGAAAAUAGUUUAUUUAGAAGCACUAAAUGACAAGAUUGAGAACUGGAAACCAGUAAGAAAGAAGGGAGCAAUAAAAUACUAGGCACCCAAAUGGCUGUGGCUUGAUAUAUCUUGUCUCAGCUUUUCUUUGAUUUUCUCCAAAAGAAGUUGGCAGUGACAAUAGAAAUGCUGUGAACAAUGUAACAAUGUGAUGUACUCGUGCCAAAAUGUAAAUACAAAGGAAAUUUCCUAAAAUACUCUGUAUCAAAUUAUCUGCAAGAACCAGAAAAAAUGAAUCAUAUUUUCAGUUCUUUGGAAACACAGAGAAAAAAUCACAUGCUGAGCUUAAGAGUUUAUCUUUACAUAGGUACAAAUUCCGUAUUAAAAAUUUAAUCCCAGUUGGAGAAGACCAAAUGAAUACUUUGGUGAUGAUGUGAUGGAUGGGAUACUUUAGUGAUGUGUUUCAUUAUGAUCCCAGUAAAAUGAAUAAAACCAAAAAAACAUCAAAAACCCAGAAUGCCUCACACAUCUCUUUCUCAACAACUAAGGAUAUAAAUGAGGAUGUAUUGACUUUUAAAUGAAUUUCAAGUUCCACAAAUGGGAGCCUUUUAGGAUCAAGAUAUUAGGUGGGCGUGCAAUGUGAUAUUUUUAUAAGGCUUUCAGAUAUGGUCUUAAUGCAAGAGGUUACAACCACUCAGAUGGACAAUAACUCUUCACUAACUCUGGAUUAACAGUGGCAUAGAGAGAGUAUGUAGGGAGGAGAAAAUAGUCUCAAGCCAAAGGCCCACCCUGUAUGCCUAUAUAUGAAGCUCAAGAGGCAUAAAGACCUUAAUCUACCUUUCCUUUCCUAAUGCAAUAUGUUUCCACAAUAAAACCAAUGUCUCAUCUGUAUUAAGUUUAUUCCUAAACUAAUGUCUCUGGACUCAUGGCUUAAGCAAACAGCAUGCUGCCCCAGGAAGGCUCAGGGUCAUAGCUGUUAAAACUUCUGGGCGCUUCGUAAGUUAGGUGGGUGUACUAGACACUCAUUUGAACAGUUUUGUUUUCAGAGGGUAUUGAAAGUUUUACUCUCUAGCAUUGCUCCUUCUCUGGCCUAUGGCCAAAGUACCAAGCCAGUAUGCAGGCAAAAUUGUAUUUCACAUCAAUACUCUGGGCCUUGGUCACUAUUCUCUUUUGAUCUUGUAAGCAUAUAUUGUAAUACUGAAACAAAUAUUUACUGUUUGGUACACAACAUUUUGUAGUCCUCCUGUGGUCUUUGAUAAAAUUCACUUCACUGCUCAUGUUUUCCUAGCUAAAAGCUAGUUAACGAAACAGAUGGAUGAUUGCAUGCGUGUGAUGUUGAACUCUAGAGGAAAGUCAAAUGCUCUGCUUUUUUUCUCCAUGUAAAUUUGAUCUGAGAUCACUGGGACUUUGCUCUUAGAAGGUUCUUUUUUUCCUUAGUUAACCCAGUGGCUUCCAGUGGGUCGAUGACAAGAAGACAAACUAGUCUAAGAAGAAAACUGUGUUGGUUCUCUCUUCCACAUCUGGUCCUUAGUUUUUUCAGUGCGACCUUAGUUUUUUAGUGGCUACAAUUGUAUGAAUAAUAUGCCUAAGUCAGUCCAUAAGAUUAAGAAAACAUUACACAUAAAACCUGUACCUGAGUUAUUUUUCUUAGUUUCUCAACUCAGGAAAAAAUAAUUAGAUUAAGUUCAACACACUCCUACAGCAAAAGGAUAUCACAGUAUGCUCUGAUGGGCAAGCGUAGGAGGCUGUAAAUUAAGCGAAAUACGUUUGUUGGGAUCCUCCAGUUCAACUGUAUGAGAAAGCUGGCUGUCUCAAAAUAACUCUCGCUGCCCUUUUUUUUCUUAAGGUCAUAUAGACAGGGCAUCUGGCAGACUCACGGUCUCAGUUCAACCAAUAACAUUAACCUUAACCAGCCCGAAUACCAACUGGAUCACCUCCUUAUCUGUAGCAGAAGAAAUCAAGCACAAUUUCCUAGUUGCUGAUAUUUCAAGAACUACAUGAAAUAGUUCUAUUUUCAGUAAAUAUCAAGGCCAGGCUGAGUGCAAGGCCUCCACUCCAAACACCCUUUGUGCUAAUAAAAGCACAUAAUCUUUGUAAAGUAAGUCACUAUUUCAUUGUGAACAAGGGCAUGGCAGUCUGCCCCUAAAUUAAAAACUAAAGCCAAAUCCCAUUUGUUGUGGGUUAUUGCUAUAAUCUCCAACUGACAAUGACUGCAUUUUAUGAAUCCAUCAACAAAUAAUAAUUUAAUUUACAGCAUGUCCGGGUCUGUUAAGCAUCAAAGAUGGUAACUCAUAAAUAACAUCAGCAAUAAUUCUGCCGUCAGCCAAGGCCAUUUCUGCUGUCAGUCCAGGCUCAGACUCAGCACUUCAGCUGGCAGCUGCUUGCACUCACCAGAUAAUGCUCAAGCAUCUGUCUUUCAGGAAAAUGGAUGUUUCUCUUUCUGAGGGCAAGGGGACACCUCAUUCCCUGCAUGCCUGGGAGGAAAGUCUGCCUUCUCUUGGAGACGGGCAGCCUCUGGAGGCACCUGCACCAUGUUGGCUUGAGGCUUCCAGGGCUUUGAGGGGACCAUGGAUCUAGAGAGAAAACUUCAGGGUAACCUGUUUGUCCAUCAGUACUUUGCAUGCUUUUUAUACCUAUGUCUCCUCACUUGGACAUGUUCUAUGCUUGCACCCCACAGGCUUCAGUCCACCUUCUUCCCCCACUUGCUGGUCUUUGAUGGACGUCCCCAUCCUUCAUCGAUCUGAAACUGGUAAGGAAGUUAUUGCUUGAUUUUUGUUCUUCAUGUUCAUGUCUUCUCCAAGGGAAGAAAAUAAAAGGCAACUGGGGAGCACAGGGGACAGAAAAAGACAGUGCUCAGUGUUAACUGGGAAAAAUGUGGGAAUGGAAGAACCCUUUAUGCUAUCAGGGCACGAGGUAUGGAGACCUUUGCUAACAAACUCUGCCACCACAGCAAUGACUCCCAAGUGUCUUGGUCGUCUGCAAUUGGCGACAGAGAUACAUCUGCUCUCAACUUGUCAGCAUAUAACAGCACUCAUAAAAUUGCCUACACCCAAAAUGAAUUGGCUCUGUACUGAAAAUAUCCCCUGUUACAACUGGAGACGCUGAAUACAGGAAAUAGGCUGUCAAAAAAGUAACGAUCCAACUUAUGGCUUGAUUGAACAUUUUAUCAUCUUUAAAAGGCAUGACAGCUGGUGUGAACUUUUGUAUCAGAUAUCAGAAUUCCCUGCUCCAAAUACUUCCAUGUGACUGGCUUUGGUUAAACAAGGCACUCUUCCUGAAUUUAAUUAGAUAGAAACACAAUUUAGGGGCAAAUACCACCCUUCUUUUUACCAAGGAAGAUGGCCUGGAGCUUUGCUUUGUGCCCAAGAGUCUUCCUAGCCCAGCUUUCUGGCUGAGAAAACAAUGCGCUACAUCCAGGAAAAAUAUGAAGGCUAUAUCUGUGCCUAGAAACUGUCACACUGGUAUCUUUAUAAAUUGUACUGAUACAAAAACAAAGUGCCUUAAUUUAAUUAUGUGUGUUUUCUUUGGUUAGUUCUGGGAGGGGAUCUGAGGACCUUUUUCCUAUCAGACUGUCUUGAGAGGCUGAGGCCUCAAAGCAGAUGCUGUCUGCACUAAGAGAUGUAUGCUUCUGCUGCAGGGCCUUGGGGUGCUCACUUGUCCUCUCUCCAUGGGAUGAGUCUGCUCUUCCCACAUGCACUGCACUCAUGGCUUGGUUAUUUUAGUAAUGGCAACAAAUUCUGGGUGAGGAAAGAUUAUGAUUGGGGCUGGGAAACCUAUCUGAGAGGAAGACUUUAUUCAGCAACUUUCUUUCUCUUCCUUCUUCCUUUGUGAGUUACCCACAAGCAGGUGGGACAUUUUCCAACCUGGCCACCUGAGCACCGCAUUCUGGGCAGAUCUGCAUCCCAAGCCUCUUGGAGUACAAGAACAGCACAUCCUCCUGCCACAAAUCCGCAGGAAGAAAGAGCUUGCCCUGGCUUGGAGCUGCUCCAUUGGCCAGUGUAGGGGCAGGAGUGCAGGAGGCCCUGUGCCCCAGGGCUGGGAGCCUGUGGUGCCCUCACUGGGGAAAGAGAUGAAGCUUUAGUACACGCGUAACGAUGGUUUCUAACCUUUCUGCAGAUCACACAGGGGAAGAAGACUUUUGCAGCUGUGUUUCUUAGUAUAAGGUGCACCAAGUGCAGAAACACAUUUUGAAAUAAUACAAGCACUUUCAUUUGUAUUGCCCAUUAACAGUCCAACCCCUUUUAAUGUCUAUAAGCAGCCCGGAGUCUGUGGAGAGCUGCUGAACAGCUUGGUAAGAGCUUGCUGAUCAAAUCUGCUUGGUUGUGAUCAGCUGCACGGCAUAUUCCCAUGACAGUGGGGUAAAAGCCCUGCACCCUCCUCAAAUAGUCUCCAGAAUUACCUUCCAGCUUGCAGCUUUAGCACUCUUGCCUAAAGCAUGUCUCCUGUAUUUGUAAGUGAAAGGGAACAAGGAAGGGACAUAGAAGACAGGCUGUGAAAAUAAUCUGACAUCCCUUUUUUAAAGAAGACAAGACAACAGCCUGCAAAGUUUGGGAGAGCUAAUGCUGCCAGCGCACUUGAGUGGGAGACAUCUGCAGUGAAGUUUCCUUCACUGCUCUCUCUCCCGCAGGGGAAAGCCUCUGAGGAGAAGAGCACUGACUUACGAAAACCUUUUGGGCAAGGCCCAGGAAGUUCUAUUCCCACUUGUAUUAAUGAAGUUAUCAGUGGUCCCUCUGCCUCACGGACUCCUUCAGACACCUGGGAUUUUACUGUGCAUGGAGGAAAGCCCACAACAGCCACCUAUGUUUACAGUGCCCCUCCAGCAAACCUCACCUGGAACCCUGGGAGAAAUGUCUGUGGUGGAGUGUGAUACCUGUCCCUUUGAUCCAGUACAUGUUUGCCACAGAGCAAUCCACCUCUGAUCAGAUUUUUUUACAUGCAAGGGCCACUGAAUCCACAAAGCAGUAGCUAAAGGCAAUGCUCUAAUAACUAUCAUAGCUGUCUUUUAACAGGGCUUAGGUCACCAGGGAACGUGGACUAAUUUGCUGUAAUUCAUUUAAUAUGUUUAGUCUGAGCAACAUAAUUUCAGCCCAAUAGAUGUCUAAGAAAUCACUCAUCAGUGUUAACUGGGAAAGGGUUAUGGCAGUGCCUGAUGUGUCCCCAACCCGGGGGUGCAGGGCUCUCCUGGCUUGCCCCAGGCAGGGCACGGCCUCCUUUGGGGCAGCUCCAGGGUGCUGCCCCCUGGCCUUGCUGAUCUCAGAAAUGCAGCCUUCACUGCCUUGUCUCUUUUUUUUUAAUUAUUUAGUAUUUUUAUUGUAUUUAUUUUUAUAGACAUUA